CACCUCGAGGGUCAAAGGUUGGAGUUGAAAGGGAGCAGUUCAAGACAAGAUGGCGACGACCAAGCGUGUUUUGUACGUGGGUGGCCUAGCUGAAGAGGUAGAUGAGAAGGUGCUUCAUGCAGCUUUUAUUCCAUUUGGAGAUAUUAUGGACAUUCAAAUUCCACUGGACUAUGAAACAGAAAAACACCGAGGUUUUGCAUUCAUUGAAUUUGAGAACGCUGAGGAUGCUGCAGCUGCCAUUGAUAAUAUGAAUGAAUCUGAACUUUUUGGAAGAACAAUCCGAGUAAAUCUGGCAAAACCGAUGCGAAUUAAAGAGGGAUCCUCAAGAGCAGUGUGGUCAGACGAUGACUGGUUAAAGAAGUUUGCUGGCAAAACUCUAGAAGAGAAUGAAAACGAAGAGCAAGGAGGAAAUGAUGGAAACACACAAACACAGGAGGGUGAACCACCAGCCAAGAAAACAAGAACCAAUCCUCAAGUCUACAUGGAUAUCAAAAUCGGCAAUAAGCCCGUUGGCAGAUUACGCUUUUUAUUACGAGCUGAUGUUGUUCCAAUGACUGCAGAGAAUUUCCGUUGUCUCUGUACACAUGAGAGGGGAUUUGGGUUUAAAGGCAGCAGUUUCCAUCGCAUCAUCCCACAGUUCAUGUGUCAGGGUGGUGACUUCACCAAUCAUAAUGGAACCGGUGGGAAGUCCAUCUAUGGCAGGAAGUUUGAUGAUGAAAACUUUAUCCUAAAGCACUUAGCACCAGGUUUGUUGUCGAUGGCAAACUCUGGGACAAACACAAAUGGCUCUCAGUUUUUCAUUACCCUUGACAAAACAGACUGGUUGGAUGGAAAGCAUGUGGUGUUUGGGGAAGUGGUGGAGGGAAUGGAUGUUGUCAAACAGCUUGAAACAGCAUACCCAGGUGGACCAUGGUUAAUUUUCUGCGAUCUUUGACGUCUUUGGGUUUUGGAGCAUUGGCUGACAACGAUUGAUGGGAAUUCACCAUAUCUGUCCGGGGAAAUGUUGGCUAUUGGCAGAAUUUCAAACCUGUGGCCAAAUAAGUGCAAAAUGAGGGAUUUUUACACCAAGUCCUGAAGCUGACUUUAGAAAAGAAACCUAGCUGUUAACGCACUCAGUUUGGCCUUCUGUCACAGUCUUCAUGGCUCAAGGUUCUAAGGAUGGAAAACCAAAGCAAAAAGUGAUAAUCUCAGACUGUGGAGAGUACGUCUGAUUCCGGUGGCUGUAAAACAUAGCUUCAGGAGAUUUCAAUCCUUUUCUUAUUAUUAAAUAUUAUCUGUAAAGAUUUCUAGCUGAUGUGGAGACUUUUGUAAAUACCUUUCAACAUGCAAAAUAAAAUAAUUUUUAAAAAAA